GGAGCGGAAACUGUCAGAUGUGGGCGGAUGUUGUCAGCGGGCCGAACACGGAUUGGCCCACAUGGAAUCAAAUGGACUUGGGAAGCACUAGGUUUAUGCUUGAUACCAAGCAUCUAACAGUUUUCCUUUUUCCGUGUUACAAAGAAUUGAAAUCUCGCGAGAGUUUCUUAUCUAUGUAAUGUGGUGAUGGGAUACGCGCACUAUGCUUGAGAAAGGGGGCGUUGCCCUUGAAACGUUGCAGACUUCUCUAUCAGACCUGCAGUGAAUGGAGACGGCUGGAUAAGAGAUUGCUGGUGCAGGGCACAUGAACGCCAAAGACGCCUACUGGGUCUCCUCUUAACAUCUUGCGGACUGUGUGACUUACUUGGGUGAAUAUUCAAAGUUUGAUUCCUGUAUUUUUGAUGAAUCAUAUAGAAAGA